CGAGAGAGCUCAGUGUCGCCAAUAUGG
rnacentral:sRNA from 1 species